rnacentral:rRNA from 1 species
GUCGAUGACGCUAGCGAAGCUUAACACAUGCAAGUUGAACGCCUCUUUACUUCGGUAAAGAGGAGUAGCGAACGGGUGAGUAACGCGUAAGAAUCUGCCUUGCAAACCAAGCAAAAACGUAGUUUGAAUCUUGGAUGACUAAGAUAAAUUUUGUAUUUGUUUUAGAAAAGUGAAAAGACGUUGCAAGAUGAGCUUGCGUAGGAUUAGGUAGUUGGUAGAGUAAGAGCCUACCAAGCCGAAGAUCCUUAGCUGAUCUGAGAGGAUGAUCGGCCACACUGGGACUGAGACACGGCCCAGACGCUUUCGAGCGGCAGCAGUGAGGAAUAUUGGACAAUGGGCGCAAGCCUGAUCCAGCUAGAUCGCGUGGGUGAUGAAGACUGUAUUGGUUGUAAAGCCCUUUACUUAAACAGAGAUUAUGACAGAGUUUGAGCAAAAAGUCCCGGCCAAUCUCGUGCCAGCAGCCGCGGUAAUACGAGAGGGGCGAGCGUUAUUCGGAAUGAUUGGGCGUAAAGCGCACGUAGGCUGUGUAGAAAAUCAGAAAUUUAAAUAUCAAAGCUUAACUUUGAUACGUAUUUUCUGGAUUGCUAUACUUGAGUGAGUGAGAGGAAAAUGGAAUUCCUGGCGUAGAGGUAAAAUUUGUUGAUAUCAGGAGGAACACCAAAAGCGAAGGCACUUUUCUGGCACUCCACUGACGUUGAGGUGCGAAAGCGUGGGGAUCAAAAGGGAUUAGAUACCCCCGUAGUCCACGCUGUCAACGAUGACCAUUCUAUAAAUAGUUCAAUUUCUAAAAAACCACACUAUCUAGGAUACCACAUGAAUCUUUCAUGAAAUGUCUUUAGUGUGACAUUUGGAAGUUGGGAUGUUUGUAUUAGCUAACGCGUUAAAUG